UACAGCGACGACUCCUACAUCAUAUCAGCUGAAUGGACGCCAGAGUCCAGUACACAGGUAUGAAAAUAACAGAAACAUAACCUCGACGGAGUCAUCAAGCGAAUGGUACAAAAUCAAUUUAUCCAAUCGUACGAUGACAGUGCCGUGCGACUAAUUAGAAGACAAAAGCGGAUAACACUUAAUCGUUUGCAGAACGGUAUAAGAAUCGACGAGCGUUUCUGUUGACAAACCAUACGAAUCGCAUGUGGAUAGGUGUGCAUCAUUCGAAAAAUCAAACAAAGCAAGGUCCACCGAGUCGGAUAAUUUAUAUAUUGUAAAAUAGGCGUGAUUACCUUGCCCUGCUCCGUGGACUCAAACAUUUCAGACAUAUUGGUUCUGCGUAAAUUAGCAGGCUGAUCGAAUUACGGCUGACUUCGACGCAUCCCUUCUACUGUACUGCAAGUACUACUUCGUACUCUCUUGCUCCGCUCUAUUGUCCGUUGACUCACUCGUGGCUAUCAUGCAACUGCGUUCUCCCGCUUACCAGUCACGUUGUCACUUUUUCCCGUUUAUUUUGGUCGUGCUAAUUAACCGAGGUGUUACUCAGCUAAUUUAGGUGAAUAUUCAAUGAGCCUUUCAAGCAUUAACCAUCCCACGACACUGUCAGUUCUCUAGAGGCAACCAACCAUCGACACUCGAUACUCAACGGACGUGAAGCACGUAUCUACAGUGGGCAUCGAAUUCGUGGCAAUCACUACACAUUUACAGAAAGAUAAUAUCAGCCUGAGGGGGGGAGGGGAUCCGGUGUAAUACAUUAAUAAUUAAAUUAUCAUGAAAUUUUGUCUAUUUUCAUGCAAACAAUCGAGUUCAUUGACAGUUUUUAGGGUAGUUUCAUGAUGUUAGGGUGUAUCCACCCCUAUGAGAGAUACAAAAAGUGAGAGGUAUAUGACAAUUCUUGUUAACGUUUUCGGUGGGUGCUUGUUACAUAAUUUAUAUUUUACGUUAUAAUCUUAAUCUAAUCUCUAAUAAUUCUUUUUAUCGCUUGUUUUAAAGAAUUGUCGGUGCAAAUAUGAAUAUCGUGCUGAUCCGAAUGGGUCAUUUAAGCACAAGCGGUCCAGUUGCACGAUGCAAUGCGUCCAUUUCCUAAUUUUAUGAAUUUCUGCGCGUGUUGGCGGUGUUUUCUGAAACUAUGACAACCUAGAAUUCCGCGAUUAGUUCAACGAGCAAGUCCGAAGUAUGUGAAUAGGCGCUGGAUUACCUUGAGAACACCUGCAAAAUAGCGGUUAGCAUGGAGGGGUGGAUCUGCUCUUGGAAUUGAACGAUUGCCCAAGCAGGUCGUGCGUGUCGUCGCAUGUGGAAACGAAUGCAGUUUGAUAUUACCGUCUUUCCUUCGAAAUUCCGACACCGUAUUACACGCUGUUAACGCGUUCGCCGCUGCAUCGAUCGUUAAUAAGCGACACAAUUCUCUGUGCAAGUUCAAAAAUCAAUUUCUAUCGAUCUGAUCAAUUACAACCCGUUGAAUAGAUUAUUGAUCGUUCAACUCGCGAUCCUCUUGAA